GAUCAAGUGUCUUAAGGGCAUUUGGUGGAUGCCUUGGUAUGCACAGGCGAUGAAGGACGUGAUACGCUGCGAAAAGCCGUGGGGAGCUGCGAAUAAGCUUUGAUCCAUGGAUAUCCGAAUGGGGAAACCCACCUUAGAUAUCUAGAAAAUCAUUCCGGUUGGAAUGAUUUGUCUGGAAUUAUUUGAUCUCACGCCCCGUACCGCAGGUCUUCGACCUGCUGGGGCUGCGAUGGCGCGCCGCAUCAGCGGCGACGGCCGGUCGGCCUUGCGGUGCUUAGCACCGAAUUCUUUUUCCACGUUGGUUUGGGAAAUGAAAUCCGAAGGAGCCACGCUCCUGAGGCAAGCGCGACUGCGCGUCGGCCAUUUUUGGCCGGCCCGUCCGGAGUGAAGCGAUCGAAGAUCGCGACAGCGUGAGGACAAAACAGAUCAGUCGGGUUGCCGAUAGGCAACCGGAAUGGUUUCUAGAUAUCAUUAAAAGGUAUCUUAAUCUGAAUACAUAGGGUUAAGAAGCGAACGCGGGGAACUGAAACAUCUAAGUACCCGUAGGAAAGGACAUCAAUCGAGACUCCGCAAGUAGUGGCGAGCGAACGCGGAUGAGGCCAGUGGCAAUGAUGAAUAAAGCAGAACAGGUUGGGAAGCCUGGCGAGAUGGGUGAUAGCCCCGUAUGCGUAGAAUAGUCAUUGUCCUUGAGUAGGGCGGGACACGUGAAAUCCUGUUCGAACAUGGGGCGACCACGCUCCAAGCCUAAGUACUCGUGCAUAACCGAUAGCGAACCAGUACCGUGAGGGAAAGGUGAAAAGCACCCCGACAAGGGGAGUGAAAGAGAACCUGAAACCGGAUGCCUACAAACAGUCGAAGCCCGCAAGGGUGACGGCGUACCUUUUGUAUAAUGGGUCAACGACUUAGUGUAUCUAGCAAGCUUAAGCCGAUAGGUGUAGGCGCAGCGAAAGCGAGUCUUAAUAGGGCGAUUUAGUUAGAUGCAUUAGACCCGAAACCGAGUGAUCUAGCCAUGAGCAGGUUGAAGGUUGGGUAACACCAACUGGAGGACCGAACCCGCAUCUGUUGCAAUAGAUUGGGAUGACUUGUGGCUAGGGGUGAAAGGCCAAUCAAACUCGGAGAUAGCUGGUUCUCCGCGAAAUCUAUUUAGGUAGAGCGUUGAAUGAAUACCUUCGGGGGUAGAGCACUGGAUGGGCUAUGGGGACUCACCGUCUUACUGAUCCUAACCAAACUGCGAAUACCGAAGAGUACUGUUCAGCAGACACACGGCGGGUGCUAACGUCCGUCGUGAAAAGGGCAACAACCCUGACCUCCAGCUAAGGUCCCCAAGUCAUGGCUAAGUGGGAAAGGAUGUGAGGAUCCCAAAACAACCAGGAUGUUGGCUUAGAAGCAGCCAUCAUUUAAAGAAAGCGUAACAGCUCACUGGUCUAAAUAAGGGUCUUUGCGCCGAAAAUGUACCGGGGCUCAAGCCAUGCACCGAAGCUGAGGAUGUGGAUUUAUCCACGUGGUAGCGGAGCGUUCCGUAGGCUGAUGAAGGGAUACCCGUGAGGGGUCCUGGAGGUAUCGGAAGUGCGAAUGUUGACAUGAGUAACGAUAAAGAGGGUGAGAGACCCUCUCGCCGAAAGACCAAGGGUUCCUGCUUAAAGUUAAUCUGAGCAGGGUUAGCCGGCCCCUAAGACGAGGCGGAAACGCGUAGUCGAUGGGAACCACGUUAAUAUUCGUGGGCCAGGCGGUGGUGACGGAUUGCACAAAUCGUACAUUCUUAUUGGAUUGAGUGUGCGGUGGAGCGGUUCCAGGAAAUAGCCCCGUCGUGAGACCGUACCCGAAACCGACACAGGUGGUCAGGUAGAGUAUACCAAGGCGCUUGAGAGAACUGCGUUGAAGGAACUCGGCAAAUUGCACGCGUAACUUCGGAAGAAGCGUGACCUCUUUAUACGCAAGUAUUGAGAGGUGGCACAGACCAGGGGGUAGCGACUGUUUAUCAAAAACACAGGGCUCUGCGAAGUCUUUAAGACGACGUAUAGGGUCUGACGCCUGCCCGGUGCUGGAAGGUUAAAAGGAGAUGUGCAAGCAUUGAAUUGAAGCCCCAGUAAACGGCGGCCGUAACUAUAACGGUCCUAAGGUAGCGAAAUUCCUUGUCGGGUAAGUUCCGACCUGCACGAAUGGCGUAACGACUUCCCCGCUGUCUCCAACGCAGACUCAGUGAAAUUGAAUUCCCCGUGAAGAUGCGGGGUUCCUGCGGUCAGACGGAAAGACCCCGUGCACCUUUACUAUAGCUUUACACUGGCAUUCGCCAAGGCAUGUGUAGGAUAGGUGGUAGGCUUUGAAGCAGGGACGCCAGUUCUUGUGGAGCCAUCCUUGAAAUACCACCCUUAUCUUCGUGGAUGUCUAACCGCGAUCCGUGAUCCGGAUCCGGGACAGUGUAUGGUGGGUAGUUUGACUGGGGCGGUCGCCUCCUAAAGAGUAACGGAGGCGCGCGAUGGUGGGCUCAGACCGGUCGGAAAUCGGUCGUCGAGUGCAAUGGCAUAAGCCCGCCUGACUGCGAGACUGACAAGUCGAGCAGAGACGAAAGUCGGUCAUAGUGAUCCGGUGGUCCCGCGUGGAAGGGCCAUCGCUCAACGGAUAAAAGGUACGCCGGGGAUAACAGGCUGAUGACCCCCAAGAGUCCAUAUCGACGGGGUUGUUUGGCACCUCGAUGUCGGCUCAUCGCAUCCUGGGGCUGGAGCAGGUCCCAAGGGUUUGGCUGUUCGCCAAUUAAAGCGGUACGUGAGCUGGGUUCAGAACGUCGUGAGACAGUUCGGUCCCUAUCUGCCGUGGGUGUAGGAAUAUUGACAGGAUCUGUCCCUAGUACGAGAGGACCGGGAUGGACGUAUCUCUGGUGGACCUGUUGUGGCGCCAGCCGCAUAGCAGGGUAGCUAUAUACGGAAUGGAUAACCGCUGAAGGCAUCUAAGCGGGAAACCAACCUGAAAACGAGUGUUCCCUAUCAGAGCCGUUGUAGACGACAACGUUGAUAGGCCGGGUGUGGAAGCGCAGCAAUGUGUGAAGCUUACCGGUACUAAUCGCUCGAUUGGCUUGAUCGUUCUCAUU
rnacentral:rRNA from 1 species